AACUUAUAUUUAUGUUCCUGUUUAUGAGAAGACUUCUCCUGACAUCCACCAGAAGAAAGAAACUAAUCAGCACAUUUGGGAUUGAACAGACAAACCAACAUUACACACUUGUGUUGGACAAACUGAAA